AGGCAGGUGGCACCAAUGUGCAGCCAUAGCAGCUGUUUGAUCAACUAUAAGUGAAUGGUCUUUAUACACAGAAAAUUCCCACGCAAGUAGCUGCAACCUGAGUAUCACAGUAUCGUGCUAGUGUGUGCAGAAGAACUACGGCGUUACUACAUCUUGAAAUGGAACCCGCUGGCCUGUUUCAGUUGCCCAGGUUGCACAGAGAAUGCGGACCAGAGCAUUCGGCUACUCAUAAAUUUGUAACAGCACCUUCCUCCAGGCAAAUAUUAAAUAUCUUCGCCUACUAUGUUAG